AAACUCCAAAGAACAUCGUUGUUCCACAGCCGCGACGCAAAGAGAGGAAGAAGAGAAAUGGAAGCCAUGGGCGUGUUUUGCGGAACCAAUAGUAUCUAUGUCACAUCCUCUCAAUUACGCACCUCAAACACAAACACAAGAAGCUCUCAAUUACGCACCACCCAACACCUUUCUGCAUUUCCUUCUAAAUCCCAUCUUUUUUCAUCUUCUACUUCUUCUUCCUAUGCCAAAACCAUCCGCACUAAAAGCUCCACCAAUACCGGCAUUUUCCUUCCCCA
rnacentral:lncRNA from 1 species